GAACGCACAUUGCGCCCCUUGGUAUUCCGAGGGGCAUGCCUAUUCGAGCGUCAUUAUCACCCCUCAAGCUCCGGCUUGGUGUUGAGGCCUGCUGUAAAGGCACCCUCUAAAAUCAGUGGCAGUGCCGUCAGGCUCUAAGCGUAGUAAUUUCAUCGCUAUAGACCCGGGCGGACCCUCGCCAGAAACCCCCCAUUUUUUAAUGAUUGACCUCGGAUUAGGUAGGGAUACCCGCUGAACUUA
rnacentral:misc_RNA from 1 species